rnacentral:precursor_RNA from 15 species
CUCUGGAGAAUAAAUAUAAUGUCUGCAAUCAACAUUCAUUGCUGUCGGUGGGUUUUUGAUUCAAUCAACUCACUGAUCAAUGAAUGCAAACUGCGGAUCAAAUAUCUAAAAGAGGAUGC